AGUGAACGCUGGCGGUAGGCCUAACACACGCAAGUCGAACGGCAGCACAGUAAGAGCUUGCUCUUACGGGUGGCGAGUGGCGGACGGGUGAGGAAUACAUCGGAAUCUACUUUUUCGUGGGGGAUAACGUAGGGAAACUUACGCUAAUACCGCAUACGACCUACGGGUGAAAGCAGGGGAUCUUCGGACCUUGCGCGAUUGAAUGAGCCGAUGUCGGAUUAGCUAGUUGGCGGGGUAAAGGCCCACCAAGGCGACGAUCCGUAGCUGGUCUGAGAGGAUGAUCAGCCGCACUGGAACUGAGACACGGUCCAGACUCCUACGGGAGGCAGCAGUGGGGAAUAUUGGACAAAGGGCGCAAGCCUGAUCCAGCCAUACCGCGUGGGUGAAGAAGGCCUUCGGGUUGUAAAGCCCUUUUGUUGGGAAAGAAAAGCAGCAGGUUAAUACCCCGCUGUUCUGACGGUACCCAAAGAAUAAGCACCGGCUAACUUCGUG
rnacentral:rRNA from 1 species